rnacentral:rRNA from 1 species
UACGUAGGGGCCGAGCGUUGUCCGGAGUUACUGGGCGUAAAGGGUGCGUAGGUGGAUUUGUAAGUCAGUGGUGAAAUCUCCGGGCUUAACCCGGAAACUGCCAUUGAUACUAUAAGUCUUGAAUUAUCUGGAGGUAAGCGGAAUAUGUCAUGUAGCGGUGAAAUGCUUAGAUAUGACAUAGAACACCAAUUGCGAAGGCAGCUUACUACGGAUAUAUUGACACUGAGGCACGAAAGCGUGGGGAUCAAACAGG